GUUACACUUCCUAUAAUUUAUUUUCAUGUGAUAAACAAACAUUAUUCUGCAUGUCCACUUAUUUAACACACGAAUGACAGAUUCAGUAAAAUCUGCCAAAGAUUAACGAUGUAAAAACUGAAUGUAGCCGACAAGUUUAGUUUUCACUGUAACACAUUAACACCAAUACUCUGAAUAAAGAGCUUGAGGAGACGUAAUGCUACUUUAAACAGCUGCUCUUCAAAUGCAGAUGUGACGUUAAAUACUCACGUUUCAGUUGAUCACAGUAAAUCGGUUUCUGCAGAAUAAUAAUCUGUGUGUGUGUGUGUGUGUGUGAUCGUAAGUUUGUUAUCUACAUCAUAAUCCCAAUAAAAAUUAACUGUGAACUGGACUUUGAACUGGUUCAACCCGGUGGAGGAGCCUGAGAACAGGGAGGUGUCAGACUCCAUUUUCACUGGGAUGAGCAGAAGGAAGAAAAGUGAGCAGAAUCAUACGUUACAGCAGUGGUCACCAACCUGUGGAGAGUCUUCACUGUGGAUCCCAGUAAAGCUCUGGACUCACUGGCUGAGGAGUGAGAGACAUCGACCUGCAGACACAGACUGAAGAUGAGUGGUUAUGAGGAGGAAGAGGAGGACAGAGCAGAGUCUCCAGGGUUCAGCUGUGUGUCUCUGAAGAGUGACCGGUCCAUGUUUGAGCCUCCAAACUUCAGUAAUGAACCUGGACCCUCACACACAAAGGAGAGGAAGAGGAGUCAUGUUUCUGAGGAGGAGCAGUCGUCCUGCUGUGCUUC